AUUCACUAGUGAUUGAAACGACUGCUAAGACUGGAUAGGAGACAAGAAGGCAUCUUCUUGUUUUUAAAAGACCUAGCAAUAGGUAUGCUUAGGGAGGAGCUUGCGUCACAUUAGUUAGUUGGUGGGGUAAAGGCCUACCAAGACUAUGAUGUGUAGCCGGGCUGAGAGGUUGAACGGCCACAUUGGGACUGAGACACGGCCCAAACUCCUACGGGAGGCAGCAGUAGGGAAUUUUCGGCAAUGGAGGAAACUCUGACCGAGCAACGCCGCGUGAACGAUGAAGUAUUUCGGUACGUAAAGUUCUUUUAUUAGGGAAGAAUAAAUGAUGGAAAAAUCAUUCUGACGGUACCUAAUGAAUAAGCCCCGGCUAACUAUGUGCCAGCAGCCGCGGUAAUACAUAGGGGGCAAGCGUUAUCCGGAAUUAUUGGGCGUAAAGGGUGCGUAGGCGGUUAAAUAAGUUUAUGGUCUAAGUGCAAUGCUCAACAUUGUGAUGCUAUAAAAACUGUUUAGCUAGAGUAAGAUAGAGGCAAGUGGAUUCAUGUGUAGUGGUAAGUGCGUAAAUAUAUGGAGGAACACCAGUAGCGAAGGCGGCUUGCUGGGUCUUUACUGACGCUGAGGCACGAAAGCGUGGGGAGCGAACAGGAUUAGAUACCCUGGUAGUCCACGCCGUAAACGAUGAGUACUAAACGUUGGGUAAAACCAGUGUUGAAGUUAACACAUUAAGUACUCCGCCUGAGUAGUACGUACGCAAGUAUGAAACUUAAAGGAAUUGACGGGACUCCGCACAAGCGGUGGAUCAUGUUGUUUAAUUCGAAGGUACCCGAAAAACCUCACCAGGUCUUGACAUGCUUCUGCAAAGCUGUAGAAACACAGUGGAGGUUAUCAGUUGCACAGGUGGUGCAUGGUUGUCGUCAGCUCGUGUCGUGAGAUGUUGGGUUAAGUCCCGCAACGAGCGCAACCCUUAUUGUUAGUUACCAGCACGUAAUGGUGGGGACUUUAGCAAGACUGCCAGUGAUGAAUUGGAGGAAGGUGGGGACGACGUCAAAUCAUCAUGCCCCUUAUGACCUGGGCUACAAACGUGAUACAAUGGCUGUUACAAAGGGUAGCUGAAGCGCAAGUUUUUGGCGAAUCUCAAAAAAACAGUCUCAGUUCGGAUUGAAGUCUGCAACUCGACUUCAUGAAGUUGGAAUCGCUAGUAAUCGCGAAUCAGCAUGUCGCGGUGAAUACGUUCUCGGGGUUUGUACACACCGCCCGUCAAAUCGAAUUCCCGCGGCCGCCAUGGCGGCCGGGAGCAUGCGACGUCGGGCCUCA
rnacentral:rRNA from 1 species